rnacentral:lncRNA from 1 species
CAGUGGCUUGAAACCAAUAAAUAGAACAUUAAUGAAGAAUAUGAGAUGAAGCAAGUUCCAGCACCAUCACAGGCAACCAAAAUCCUCGUGUAGGAGUUUGAUAGGUGGCAGAUUCUGAAAGCUGAGAUAAUGUUUGUGCUGGAAGUAUAUCCCAAAGAACUGCAGAAAAGUAAAAUUUAUUUAAGGAAAGCCUAAAAUACUACAAAUUUUAGCAGUUUUGAGAUAAUUUGCCUAUAGAAUCUCUAUUUA